GUGGGGAAUUUUGGACAAUGGGGGCAACCCUGAUCCAGCCAUCCCGCGUGUGCGAUGAAGGCCUUCGGGUUGUAAAGCACUUUUGGCAGGAAAGAAAUCGCACGGGAUAAUACCUCGUGUGGAUGACGGUACCUGCAGAAUAAGCACCGGCUAACUACGUGCCAGCAGCCGCGGUAAUACGUAGGGUGCAAGCGUUAAUCGGAAUUACUGGGCGUAAAGCGUGCGCAGGCGGUUCGGAAAGAAAGAUGAGAAAUCCCAGGGCUUAACCUUGGAACUGCAUUUUUAACUACCGGGCUAGAGUGUGUCAGAGGGGGGUGGAAUUCCGCGUGUAGCAGUGAAAUGCGUAGAUAUGCGGAGGAACACCGAUGGCGAAGGCAGCCCCCUGGGAUAACACUGACGCUCAUGCACGAAAGCGUGGGGAGCAAACAGGAUUAGAAACCCGGGUAGUCC
rnacentral:rRNA from 1 species